rnacentral:rRNA from 1 species
CUUGCUCCACCGGAAAAAGAAGAGUGGCGAACGGGUGAGUAACACGUGGGUAACCUGCCCAUCAGAAGGGGAUAACACUUGGAAACAGGUGCUAAUACCGUAUAACAAUCGAAACCGCAUGGUUUUGAUUUGAAAGGCGCUUUCGGGUGUCGCUGAUGGAUGGACCCGCGGUGCAUUAGCUAGUUGGUGAGGUAACGGCUCACCAAGGCCACGAUGCAUAGCCGACCUGAGAGGGUGAUCGGCCACAUUGGGACUGAGACACGGCCCAAACUCCUACGGGAGGCAGCAGUAGGGAAUCUUCGGCAAUGGACGAAAGUCUGACCGAGCAACGCCGCGUGAGUGAAGAAGGUUUUCGGAUCGUAAAACUCUGUUGUUAGAGAAGAACAAGGAUGAGAGUAACUGUUCAUCCCUUGACGGUAUCUAACCAGAAAGCCACGGCUAACUACGUGCCAGCAGCCGCGGUAAUACGUAGGUGGCAAGCGUUGUCCGGAUUUAUUGGGCGUAAAGCGAGCGC